rnacentral:rRNA from 1 species
AGUGAACGCUGGCGGUAGGCCUAACACAUGCAAGUCGAACGGCAGCACAGUAAGAGCUUGCUCUUACGGGUGGCGAGUGGCGGACGGGUGAGGAAUACAUCGGAAUCUACUUUUUCGUGGGGGAUAACGUAGGGAAACUUACGCUAAUACCGCAUACGACCUACGGGUGAAGGCAGGGGAUCUUCGGACCUUGCGCGAUUGAAUGAGCCGAUGUCGGAUUAGCUAGUUGGCGGGGUAAAGGCCCACCAAGGCGACGAUCCGUAGCUGGUCUGAGAGGAUGAUCGGCCGCACUGGAACUGAGACACGGUCCAGACUCCUACGGGAGGCAGCAGUGGGGAAUAUUGGACAAUGGGCGCAAGCCUGAUCCAGCGAUACCGCGUGGGUGAAGAAGGCCUUCGGGUUGUAAAGCCCUUUUGUUGGGAAAGAAAAGCAGCAGGUUAAUACCCCGCUGUUCUGACGGUACCCAAAGAAUAAGCACCGGCUAACUUCGUG